UUCUGUAACUGUUGCUUAUUGUAUUUGCUGUUUAUUUUUCCUAAAAGGGCCAUUAAUAAAAUGCAAAUCUUAGAUAAUUAUAAAGCUUUUAAUUGCAUUAUUCCAUUGUCUUUUAUGAACCAUUUAUGGCUUUAUUUUACAUUGUUCAAUUUAGUAUUUCUCUCUCUUUGCAGAGCACUUCCAGCCCUUCUGGAUUCAGAUGAGGAACGAAUGAUCACACACUUUGAAAGGUCCAAAAUGGAGUAAGGAAUGGGAAGAUUUGCAGUUAAAGAUGGCUACCAUCAGGGAAGAGAUCAGCAUCUGUGUCAGUCUUCUGUACGGCUCCAUGGGAUUAAAGGAAGCAAUGACAUCCUGAUCUGUUCCUUGAUCUUUGGGCAUUGGAGUUGGCGAGAGGUGUCAGAACAAAGAGAACAUCUUACUGAAAACAAGUUCAUAAGAUGAGAAAAAUCUACGAGCUUCUUAUUUACAACACUGCUGCCCCCUUUCCUCCCAGACUCUGACAUGGAUGUUCAUGCAACUUAAGUGUGUUGUUCCUGAACUUUCUGUAAUGUUUCAUUUUUUAAAUCUGACAAACUAAAAAGUUUAACGUCUUCUAAAAGAUUGUCAUCAACACCAUAAUAUGUAAUCUCCAGGAGCAACUGCCUGUAAUUUUUAUUUAUUUAGGGAGUUACAUAGGUGAUGGGGGAAAUUGUUAACUACCUUUCAUUUUCCUGGGAAGUCAAGGUUACAUCUUGCAGAGGUUGUUUUGAGAAAAAAGGGCCCUUCUGAGUUAAGGAGCCAUAGUUCUAUCAAUGAUCAAAAGAAAAAAAAAAAAA
rnacentral:lncRNA from 1 species